CAAUAGCGUAUAUUUAAGUUGUUGCAGUUAAAAAGCUCGUAGUCGGAUUUUGGCUGAGAACGAACGGUCCGCCGUUAGGUGUGCACUGUUUGGUCUCAGCUUCCUGGUGAGGAGGUGUGCUUCACGGCCACUUAGUCACCGUGGUUACUUUGAAAAAAUUAGAGUGUUCAAAGCGGGCUUACGCUUGAAUAUAUUAGCAUGGAAUAACACCAUAGGACUCCUGUCCUAUUUCGUUGGUCUCGGGACGGGAGUAAUGAUUAAGAGGAACAGUUGGGGGCAUUCGUAUUUCAUUGUCAGAGGUGAAAUUCUUGGAUUUAUGAAAGACGGACUUCUGCGAAAGCAUUUGCCAAGGAUGUUUUCAUUGA
rnacentral:rRNA from 1 species